AAGAAUAUAGUUUAUAUAAAAACAUUUUGCUUACACCAAAAAGAAUAGUUUAUUCUUA
rnacentral:tRNA from 1 species